UACGUAGGGUGCGAGCGUUAAUCGGAAUUACUGGGCGUAAAGCGUGCGUAGGUGGUGAGUUAAGUCUGUCGUGAAAGCCCCGGGCUCAACCUGGGAAUGGCGAUGGAUACUGGCUCGCUAGAGUGCGGUAGAGGAGAGUGGAAUUCCCGGUGUAGCAGUGAAGUGCGUAGAGAUCGGGAGGAACAUCAGUUGCGAAGGCGGCUCUCUGGACCAGCACUGACACUGAGGCACGAAAGCGUGGGGAGCAAACAGG
rnacentral:rRNA from 1 species